rnacentral:rRNA from 1 species
GUCAGCCUGCCAGUGACAUUAGUUCAACGGCCGCGGUAUUCUGACCGUGCAAAGGUAGCGUAAUCACUCGGCCUUUAAAUGGGGUCAAGUAUGAAAGGCUAAACGAGGGCUUAACUGUCUCCCCUUCCUGGUCAGUGAAAUUGAUCUAUCCGUGCAGAAGCGGGUAUAAUAAUACAAGACGAGAAGACCCUUUGGAGCUUUAGGUACAGGACUCACCCAUGUCAAGCAAGUACAUCAAAACCUAAACCUCAUGGCUCAUGAGACCCUACCUUCGGUUGGGGCGACCACGGAGAAAAAGACAUCCUCCAAGUGGACUGGGGGGAACCCUAGAACCAAGAGAUACAUCUCUAAGUCACAGAACAUCUGACCAAAAAUGAUCCGGCCACAAGACCGAUUAACGAACCAAGUUACCCUAGGGAUAACAGCGCAAUCCUCUCCCAGAGCCCAUAUCGACGAGGGGGUUUACGACCUCGAUGUUGGAUCAGGACAUCCUAAUGGUGCAGCCGCUAUUAAGGGUUCGUUUGUUCAACGAUAAAAGUCCUACGUGAUCUGAGUUCAGACCGGA